rnacentral:tRNA from 2 species
UUUUCCGCUGUAGUUUAAGUGAAUGAGGGUUUUGUAAGCCUUUGGUAUGGGGUGG